rnacentral:lncRNA from 1 species
AUGGGGAAGAUCAGUCGUGUGAUCUGUCCCUCAGAUGGCAAGUACGAAAUCCUGCAGCAUUUCUACUUCUUUCCUCUAUUUUAUUUUGAUUUAAAAGUUGCAAUAGUUUUGAUUGGUUACGUUUUUGUGAUGUUUGCAGUCGACUGGAGACGACAGUGGAUGAUUUUUCACGUGUGGAGAAUUAUGAUGACUCGGUCUUUUCUGAAAUGGGAGAUACUGAUAACAGUCACAUUCAAGUUGAAAAGGCAAAGACCGAAACCCUCCAGGAAGCUGACGAACGAACAUGGCGGAGUCCGGCGGCCCUCAGCGUAUCACGCCCUGCCGGAGAGGAUGCUCAAGUGCAAACAGAUUUCCCACCACUGCCAGAUGAUUCACAGCAACACAAGGACGAUUUCUGUAUCAGAACUGGCAUCCUCGGCUGAAUCAGCAGAAAAGAGAGAUAUGGGUACUUUGACAAACGACUUGGAUACCGCUGACCUCGAAAACAACUCGUGCCGCACCGCAGCCACAACCCAAACUGCUUCUUCUUCUUUAACAAAGAUGCCCUCGUUGAGCGCCACAGACUUGGAGUCAAAACCCAGACCCUCAAAUGAGGGUGACGAGGGACUACAUCCCAAAAGUGGGGAUGACCACGUAUACCAUUGUCCCUCAAAAGUCUCUAGAGAAACUGAGAUAUUUUGA